UUUUUUUUUUUUUUUUGAGACAGGGUCUCUCUCUGUUGCCCAGGCUGGAGUGCAGUGGUUCACUGCAGUCUUGACCUCUUGGUCUCAAGCGAUCCUCCACCUUAGCCUCCCAAGUAUCUGGGACCGUAGGUGCAUGCCACUACACCUGGCUAAUUUUUAAAUUUAUUUUUUGUAGAGACAAGAUUUCGCUCUGUUGCCCAGACUGGUGUCGAACUCCUGUCCUCAAGCGAUCCUCCAGCCUCAGGCUCCCAGAGUGCUGGGAUUACAGGUAUGAGCCACCGUGCCUGACCAAAGGUUGAGUGAUUUCGUAUGGAAAGUGUUUACAACAGCACCUAGCCUGCAGCACGUCUAACACGUGCUAGCUAAUAGGCAGAGGUGGAACCAGCGAGUCUUGCUAGCAGUUAAGUGGGAUAGAGAAAGAGGGUCAAAGAUGGUUUCAACGUUUUAGUUCAAAUAUCUGGAGGAGUCGUGGAGGUGAAUUUUAGAUGAGUUUGAGAUGCUGUUGUUACUUAGGUGGAGGUGCUCAGGAGUUCAGUACACAAGUUAGUGGCUCACAGCGGAGGCUGAACACCAACACGGAGAAGGUACUUUGCUCACUGGAACCUGCAGAAUCCUUAGUUCACUAAGCUAUAUUGUGUUUUGCCCAUCGUGUAUUUCGUCUUAUAAACAGUAGUCUAGUUAGCAGGAAAUCUCCUGACUCUCUAGACCUAGCUUUCUCCCUUAGGCCUGGGGCUUCUAGCAGAUUCCAGUGCAAACACAGUACAAGGCCAGGAUUCGCAGACAGGCUGCUCACGGUCUGGCGGGAGUAAUGCUCUUCUUAGGGAGUCACAGGGCGGGGCUUGUCCUUGUGGGGAGAGGCAAGAGACAGCCUUCCUUCUGGGGCCUCUGUUCUAUGCUUUUAGGAGGUCUGAGCCUCUGAGCCUUGUAGUGAUUCCUGGAGCCCCACAGCGGGCUGGACUUACCUUUGCAACAGCGGGUCCCUGGAUGGCCAAAGGACAAUCUUCCUUCCCCCACUCUCUCCUUUCUUUCUUCCUUUUCUCCUCCUUCUCUUCUUUUCUGUUAGCCUUAAAAGAAUAUAAUAACAAGCCAAUUUUUAUGUAUGUAUGCAUGUAUGUAUCUCUCUAUCAUCUUUCUAUCUAUAUCACCAUCAUCCAUCCAUCCAUCCAUCCAUCCAUUUAUCCAUCCAUCCAAACAUCUCUAUCUACCUAUCUAUUCCUUUUGGGAGGAUUUUGGGGAUAAAAUACACUCACAGGGUCUUCGUUUUGAAGGGACCUUCAAUUUCAUGGAGUCCAGACUCUUCAUUUUACUGCACAGAGAGCAAAGUGACUUUCCCAGAGUAACACAUGUCUCCUGUGGCAGAGCAGGGAUUAGCCCCCACGUCUCCCGAAUCCCCUCACCCUUCCUGUGGCUCUGAUUGCGCUCAGUCACCACACAGCUGGCAAGCCUCAGGGUGAGGCUGGAGGCCUCUCUGCAAGGGUCCUCUCUGAGGCCUGAGGCAGCCUCUGCCAUACCUGAGGCUGCUCCUAAGGUGCCCUGCUGAGGCAGCCCUCCUUUUGUGGGGGCACUGGCUUCGGGGAAUCUGUUCCUGCAGACCCCUG
ensembl:lncRNA